rnacentral:rRNA from 1 species
UACGGGGGGGGCAAGCGUUGUUCGGAAUUACUGGGCGUAAAGGGCUCGUAGGCGGCCAACUAAGGCGGACGUGAAAUCCCUCGGCUUAACCGGGGAACUGCGUCCGAUACUGGAUGGCUUGAGUUCGGGAGAGGGAUGCGGAAUUCCAGGUGUAGCGGUGAAAUGCGUAGAUAUCUGGAGGAACACCGGUGGCGAAGGCGGCAUCCUGGACCGACACUGACGCUGAGGAGCGAAAGCCAGGGGAGCAAACGGG